rnacentral:tRNA from 1 species
GGAGGUGUGGCUCAGUGGUAGAGCUCCUGCCUAGUAAGCAUUAGGCGCUGAGUUCAAAUCCCAGUACUAUCG